rnacentral:misc_RNA from 1 species
AACGCACCUUGCGCUCCUUGGUAUUCCGAGGAGCAUGCCUGUUUGAGUGUCAUUAAACUCUCAACCUCUUCAGCUUUUGUUGUUGAGGCUUGGAUGUGGGGGUUUUGCAGGUCUGCCUUAACUGUGCGGUCUGCUCCCCUGAAAUGUAUUAGCGGGUUGGCUUCCGUCUAUUGGUGUGAUAAUUAUCUACGCCGUGGAUGGGUUUGGCUUUCAGACCAGCUUCUAACUGUCCUUUGGACAACUCUUGACAUUUUUGACCUCAAAUCAGGUAGGACUACCCGCUGAACUUAA